rnacentral:rRNA from 1 species
GCCUGGGGAGUACGGCCGCAAGGUUAAAACUCAAAUGAAUUGACGGGGGCCCGCACAAGCGGUGGAGCAUGUGGUUUAAUUCGAUGCAACGCGAAGAACCUUACCUACUCUUGACAUCCAGAGAACUUAGCAGAGAUGCUUUGGUGCCUUCGGGAACUCUGAGACAGGUGCUGCAUGGCUGUCGUCAGCUCGUGUUGUGAAAUGUUGGGUUAAGUCCCGCAACGAGCGCAACCCUUAUCCUUUGUUGCCAGCGGUUAGGCCGGGAACUCAAAGGAGACUGCCAGUGAUAAACUGGAGGAAGGUGGGGAUGACGUCAAGUCAUCAUGGCCCUUACGAGUAGGGCUACACACGUGCUACAAUGGCGCAUACAAAGAGAAGCGACCUCGCGAGAGCAAGCGGACCUCAUAAAGUGCGUCGUAGUCCGGAUUGGAGUCUGCAACUCGACUCCAUGAAGUCGGAAUCGCUAGUAAUCGUGGAUCAGAAUGCCACGGUGAAUACGUUCCCGGGCCUUGUACACACCGCCCGUCACACCAUGGGAGUGGGUUGCAAAAGAAGUAGGUAGCUUAACCUUCGGGAGGGCGCUUACCACUUUGUGAUUCAUGACUGGGGUGAAGUCGUAACAAGGUAACCGAAUCUAGAUG